rnacentral:lncRNA from 1 species
GUUGUAGUCCUACAUGUUGUCUACACACUGGAAUUGAUAGAUCACAUAAACGUUACACGAUCAUCAAGUUAUAGAGGUCCAAAGUAGGCACCUCGAACUGUUCUUCGUGAAGAACAGCUUUGGUAGCUACUUUGAUGGCUGAUUUAUCCCAGAUCCGAUGUUUUUUUUAGAGGUUAUGAUUGUUGGAUCUUAUAUUCUUGUAUUUCCUCUACAGACCCAAUUUAUAGAUUGUCCAAAUUCGAUAAGAUGAGAGAGUUAUUCACGGUCAAAGUAGGCCACUCGGUUCUGCCUUAUGAAGAUCUGGGUAGGCUCAAGAACACCUAUAGCAACACUUCUGUCACUAUAGGGGCCUUUAGCGACAGUUUUAAUUAUUUUAAUUUCUGAUUUUCCGAAAAAUGAUUUAAAAAUUAGAAAAAUUAGAUUUUAAUUAUUAAAAAUACCAAAUAAAU